UGAGUCGGCCGGGUGGCCGCGGCACGGCAUGACCGUGUCGAGGAAAGUCGGGACUCCAACGGGCAGGGUGCUGGCGAGAGCCAGGUCGCGGCGACGUGACGGCCCAGUGCAACAGAAAGCAAACCGCCGAUGGCCGGCAACGGCACAGGCAAGGGUGAAACGGUGCGGUAAGAGCGCACCAGCGUCCGAGGUGACUCGGUCGGCUCGGCAAACCCCACCCGGAGCAAGGUCGAGCAGAAGGUAUGGGCGGCCCGUCCGCUCCGCACCGCGAGGGCCUGGGCGGUGCCCAGGAAUCGAGGUGCGGCGCACCUUCGGGUAGACCGCAUAGAUGGAUGGCCACCGGCCGCCCGCCAGGGCGGUCACAGGAUCCCGCUUACACGCCGACUCACCGU
rnacentral:RNase_P_RNA from 1 species